CAGCGGCGUCCUUCAGGGUGCCUGACGGGGUCUCCAGCGGUGUCCUUCAGGGUGCCUGACGGGGUCUCCAGCGGUGUCCUUCAGGGUGCCUGACGGGGUCUCCAGUGGCUUCCUUCAGGGUGCCUGACGUGGUCUCCGGCGGCGUCCUUCAGGGUGCCUGACGGGGUCUCCAGCGGCGAUGAGGAGGUUGACUACGGACUUCUACGCAGACCUGUACGGUGGCAGCAACACUGAUCCACAGUGUGCUCAGCAGAUUCUACAGGGGAUGCCUAAGCUCGGGCCUGAGCAGAUUGCUGGGCUGGAGGGUGAUUUUUCAUCUCAGGAACUAACAGUGGCUGUGCAGCAGCUCUCCCCAGGCCGUGCGCCAGGGGUCGAUGGACUGACAGCUGAGUUUUAUAAAUGUUUCUGGGGUGUAUUGGGGAGGGACCUCUUAGAUGUCUUUCGGGAGUCCUUUGAGCGCUCAGUACUACCAGUCAGCUGCCAGCGGGCAGGGCUGUCACUACUGCUGAAGAAGGGGGACCUAGCUCUAUUGAGUAACGAGGCCAGUAUCGUUGCUCUGCUUGGAUUACAAAAUACUGUUGAAGUGUUUGGCAAAUCGGCUGAAAGGUUGUUUGGACAAAAUAGUUUACAGGACCAGGCAUACUCUGGACAACUUGUUUCUUUGAGAGAUGUGAUAGACAUCACUAGGAUGUAUGAUCAGGACUUGAGCCGGCCAGUCCCAGUUAGGACAGGGAUUAGGCAGGUUAGGCAGGAGCCAGAGAACCACUGCUGUAUAGGCUGAGGGAGAUGCUGCAGGGGACGUCAGUCCCAGUUAGGACAGGGAUUAGGCAGGUUAGGCAGGAGCCAGAGAACCACUGCUGUAUAGGCUGAGGGAGAUGCUGCAGGGGACGUCAGUCCCAGUUAGGACAGGGAUUAGGCAGGUUAGGCAGGAGCCAGAGAACCACUGCUCUAUAGGCUGAGGGAGAUGCUGCAGGGGAUGUCAGUUCCAGGGGCACUAGGUGGGGAGACGGUUUCAUUGUCGGCUUAUUUUGUAUUUUUCCUUUAUUUAACUAGGCAAGUCAGUUAAGAACAAAUUCUUAUUUACAAUGACGGCCUAGGAACAGUGGGUUAACUGCCUUGUUCAGGGGCAGAUCGACAGAUUUGUACCUUGUCAGCUCAGGGAUUUGGUUUAGAAACAUUUCGGUUUCUGGCCCAACACUCUAACCACUAGGCUACCUGCUGCUAUUCUGAUGAUGUAACAGUGUUUGUUAGAGGGGAGGAAGAUGUAGACGAGGUUAGCAGGGCUUUAGUGUUGUUUGAGGGUGCGGCAUCAGCUAAGGUGAACUGAGGUUGGCUGUGAACCUAUAUGUUGCAGGGCCUCAGUAUACUGUAGCCAAAUGAAAUGUUAAAAUUAAAUAAUGUUUGUUUUAAUGAUGUACAGUAAAUAUUUGAGCUAAAUAAAGUUGAUGUAUUUUUGAA
ensembl:lncRNA